GGAAGGUCCGGGCGUUAUCCGGAUUUAUUGGGUUUAAAGGGAGCGUAGGCCGGAGAUUAAGCGUGUUGUGAAAUGUAGACGCUCAACGUCUGCACUGCAGCGCGAACUGGUUUCCUNGGGUACGCACAAAGUGGGCGGAAUUCGUGGUGUAGCGGUGAAAUGCUUAGAUAUCACGAAGAACUCCGAUUGCGAAGGCAGCUCACUGGAGCGCAACUGACGCUGAAGCUCGAAAGCGUGGGGAGCAAACAGGAUUAGAUACCCUGGUAGUCCACGCCGUAAACGAUGACUGCUAGGUGUCGGGUGGCAAAGCCAUUCGGUGCCGCAGCUAACGCAAUAAGCAGUCCACCUGGGGAGU
rnacentral:rRNA from 1 species